GGUUGUGGCUCAGUGGUAGAGCACUCGCCUAGCAUGUGAGAGGCACUGGGUUCGAUCAUCAGUACCA
rnacentral:tRNA from 1 species